ensembl:lncRNA
GGGACAUGGGGGCUACAUUUUUUAUAAAAGGUUUAUAGAAGUCAAAUCAGUCGUCAAAACAUCUUAGCCAGAGGAUGGUCACUGUCACAAACUGGAGACUUGAAACAAAGAAAUAGGAUGCAAACGCUCAAGGCGUGUUUUACUGAGAUAAAUCAAAGUGCCACAAUGGGCAAACAAGGCAGAGUUCACAGGACUGGAGAACAGUACAUCUUGCUGAUCACAAACAAUUACACACAAAGACAAAGGAAAAGUCCAAGGCUUACAUAAGAGCUCAGUGAAUACAUUGGUUACAGGUGAGAACUAAACUUAAUUAAUACAAAGGCUACAGGUGAGAACUAAAUUAAAUUAACACAUUGGCUACAGGUGAGAACCAAACAUGGAGGGAAAACUAAGGUGUGAGGGAAAUACUAAACACAGGAGAGGGUGAACGGACUGGAGCAAGAGCAGAAACAGGAACAGAGGAGCGUGCAGCAGAGGCUGUGACAGUCACGGAACUGAGGUUUCUGACCCUACUAUUGGUUCAUCAUACUGAUUUUUGAUUCAUACUGAUCAAGUGUUGUCUUGAAAAGUACAAAUAACUUUGUGUACAAUGAAUUGUGUUAUUAAUACUUGGAAAAUCAAGGAAACAGUUUGCAUUGAUCUUUUUGUAUUUGUCCUUACUAAAGAAAUACUGUUGAACUUACCAAAUACAUUUUUUAAGCUAUAGCAACAUAAUACAGUUACCUCACACAACAACAACUGUUCCUUCCACAAUUAUUUACACCCCUGAUGAAGAUGAGUAAAGGUGAUAAAGGGUCAUCUUUGGUGAAUUAGCUUAAUCUCACACAAAAAAAGAGAAACUACCUUUAAAAAAAGUCCCUCGUCAAGUAGUUAUUAUUUUUGACCAAAAUCACAUGAUUUACAUGUAAUCAAUUACUGGUACCUCUAGAAAAUCUUAUAAACAUAAUGUAAAUGAAGCUAUUUCUCCAUUUAUGUUUUCUACUUAAAGUUGCUCAGAGUGUUUACGAACUUUCAAGCAGUAAUCCGUGACUUUCUGUUUCCUCACGUCUAAAAAUAUUUUUAGCUGGAUUUGUGUAUUCAUGAUAACACCAGGAAAUGAUGGAAAAUAAAAUACAUGAGCUUUUUUUUUUGUUGCAAAGAGAGCAGGCAAUAAGACAAGACAAGAUUAAUACAAGAUAUAAAAUACAAACUUUACAAAAUAAAUGUAAAAAACUGAUGCAAACCAAACACAGCCAAACAGUAAAAGAAGGUACACCUAUCGCAUAGCAGUGCGUAGUAUGACUGUCACACAAAGUGCAACAUGGUGUCUUUGUGAGUUAUGAGCAUUUCCUUGCAUUUCUUAUUGAAGACUAUUUUGAAGUACUUGUUGUCAUUUUCAUGUCUGGCUAUUACUAUUUUUUCCCCAUCUGCACAAAUGUAAUAGCCACUGUGUGAAGCCGACUGAAAGUGCCAUGUAUCGGGAUUCUUACGGAUAGCGUGAAACAAAUAGGGUUUGUUUGCCUCGACUGCUUUGAUGUCCGUGGACUUUCCCUGAAAAAUAAAAAAACAAAUCAGGACAUGCCUACAGUAAUCAUUACAUUGCAUGACAAGCUCAAUCCUAGAAUGAAACAGGUUUUAAUCAUGCUUUUGAUUAUGUCCAGUGCCUCUGACAACUAGUCUUACUUUGUCACUGUAUGUAGUAAUCAAAAUGGAUACAAUAUUUUUCAGACUCAAAUUCAUAUGUAUUUUCAUUCUCUUUAGUAAGGUAAGGUAAAAGAAAUGUUUUUUUUUUUGUCUCAGUCACCGUUUGGAUGCCCAGCAGCGUUGGAUUUGCCUAAAAAAGAAAUCAAUCAAAUCAUGCCAUUUUAAGAAUGCCAACACUAUUCAUGACAGUGUAUAAUAAGCUCAUCCGUGGAAUGAAGCAUGAACUACUUCAAAUGUAGGUUGUAGUGCUUUUGAUUAUGUGGUCAUCAUACCUCAGCUUUCAAAAUCACUCCAUCUGUUGCUUCCCCUUCACAUUUUAGGAAGAGUUUAUUGCUAAAUUGCAGGGCAGCAAGUUGAGUAGAUUUGUCUUGGUUAAAUCCCCUCAUUUGCAGCAUUGCCAUUCCAUCUGAAACACAUGCAAUAUAAAUUCAGUCCAUAAAAUGUAAGAAAGUGUAUUUAAAGAUAAAGGACUACUGACAGGCAAGAUAUAGCGGAUGUUUCGGUGACCACUUAGGGUUGUGGAGCUUUUUGUACGCUGUCAUCAUACAUUACUAAUCAUUCAUUUAACACUGUGAUGGUCUUUGUCAUAUCCUGCUGAUGGAGAAGUAUAAGGAAAAAUUGAUCAUACUCAAUUUUAUGAUUAUAAUCGUUCUCUUAUUUGCACUUUUUCUCUGCGCUCCCUUCUUUAAAAAAAAACAUUAUUAAUUAGUAUUAGUUAAUGAUAACGAUUUGCUGUCUUUAUUAUUAACCUUUGCUAUUGUUAAGACUCAAAUUGAAACGAUUGUUUUUUUCAUGAGUCUCAGACAUUACAUGUUUACUAGUCGUUCAUUAUAGCUUAUUCUGGUAUCUUAUUCUGGUAGUUUAUUCUGGAAUCUUAUUCUGGUAUCUUAUUCUGGUAUCUUAUUCUGGUAGCUUAUUCUGGUAGCUUAUUCUGGAAUCUUAUUGUGGUAUCUUAUUUCGGUAGAUUAUUCUGGUAGAUUAUUCUGGUAUCUUAUUCUGGUAUCUUAUUCUGGUAGCUUGUUCUGGUAGCGUAUCCAUUGCACGUAUGGAGCAGAAGCCACUGAGAUUGCACGGUGCACAGCUGACCUCUUUGGACUAAAAGCGAUGAGGAAAAAUCAGCUUUCACAAUUGUUUUUGGACACCGUAGGCUACAAAAUGACUCCUACGCUUAUUUAUCUAGUCCAUUAAUAGACAUUCAAUAUCCAUAUGAAAUACAACUUGAAUAGAAUUUCAGUCCCUGAAUAGGUUACAUAGGGCUACAACUCCAAAAAAAGAACCUUUAACUUAUCUAUUUCUACACAUAAAUAGUCCAAAGUCUAUUUGAACUUAAUUGAACUGAGAGAGGGAGACAGAGAUAGAGAGACCUUCACUUGACAGACUUUGCGAUAUAAAUACUUUAAUUUGAGACUUUUUCCAUUCUCAGGUGAAAGUGUACUGACCUAUAAAACCAAACUUUCAUUGUCUGUUUACAGGACAAAUAAUUUAGUGCAGUGUUUUUCUCCUUCUGCAGGCAGCCAGUGUGUUGUGUUUUAGAGGGGACUAUCGAUUAAAAUCUUUCAUUAAAAACACCAGAAAUUGUCGUUAACACGUUUGUUGACACAUCUUUCAAAGUGAUUGUACUAGCUAACACUGAUGACUCCAGAAUCUAUUUUUGCUUGGCCUUGGUGCCCAUUGAAGCCCCACUAGAGCUGGUCAGUCAGGUGGUGGCAUUCACGUCUCAGGUGAUUGGAUUUUUCAUAUUUUUGGUGUCAGAAGUGAACACCCUGAAACUAAAUGUGCUAACGAAAAGAUUACCAGAGUCAGUCACAGCUGUUUAAUAUCUAUGUAGCAAUAACAAUUACUCCUGAUGCAGCAAUCAAGAAAUUCAAACUAAGAGAAAUGAAAAUAGGAAGACACUGAGCUCAAACCUCCUGUCUCUUUAAGACGUGGUCCCUCAUUUGUCCAUGCAAGGUACUCAGCGGAUUGGAUAAACUCAAUUUUUGCGCAUUCCCAAUAUAAUGAGUCUGGAAAAAAAAUGCACCCAAACGAAUUUAAUGAAAUAAGAUAAGAAAUAAGAUAUUCUGUAUUCAGAGAAGUCAGUAUCCACACAUCAAUAAAAGGCAGUCAUUGAGAUGGUCCAUUCCUAUCUAAGAGGUACUCAGACAGAGGAACAGGGAGAGAAGGAAGGCAGCCACUUACUUGUAAAUUUUGUGUCCAUAAUGCUAGAGGUGCAUGAGUCGUCAUUGUCUGAACACAACAUAUUAAUCUUGGCAUCUUGCAGCAUGACGAUCAGUGUGGUUUCUUCACAUGUGUUGCCAGAGCCAUCCUCAACUUUAAACUUAAUUCAUAAUCAGACAGAAUGUUAGCAAGGUUGCCUGUGUAUGUAAGAGCAGGCCUAAAUAUAGAGUAUAUGUAGACUC